rnacentral:rRNA from 1 species
AGAGUUUGAUCCUGGCUCAGAUUGAACGCUGGCGGCAGGCCUAACACAUGCAAGUCGAGCGGCAGCGGGAAAGUAGCUUGCUACUUUUGCCGGCGAGCGGCGGACGGGUGAGUAAUGCCUGGGAAAUUGCCCAGUCGAGGGGGAUAACAGUUGGAAACGACUGCUAAUACCGCAUACGCCCUACGGGGGAAAGCAGGGGACCUUCGGGCCUUGCGCGAUUGGAUAUGCCCAGGUGGGAUUAGCUUGUUGGUGAGGUAAUGGCUCACCAAGGCGACGAUCCCUAGCUGGUCUGAGAGGAUGAUCAGCCACACUGGAACUGAGAGACGGUCCAGACUCCUACGGGAGGCAGCAGUGGGGAAUAUUGCACAAUGGGGGAAACCCUGAUGCAGCCAUGCCGCGUGUGUGAAGAAGGCCUUCGGGUUGUAAAGCACUUUCAGCGAGGAGGAAAGGUUGGUAGCUAAUAACUGCCAACUGUGACGUUACUCGCAGAAGAAGCACCGGCUAACUCCGUGCCAGCAGCCGCGGUAAUACGGAGGGUGCAAGCGUUAAUCGGAAUUACUGGGCGUAAAGCGCACGCA